rnacentral:rRNA from 1 species
CCUACGGGAGGCUGCAGUGGGGAAUAUUGCACAAUGGGGGAAACCCUGAUGCAGCGACGCCGCGUGAGUGAAGAAGUAAUUCGGUAUGUAAAGCUCUAUCAGCAGGGAAGAAAAUGACGGUACCUGAGUAAGAAGCCACGGGUAACUACGUGCCAGCAGCCGCGGUAAUACGUAGGGGGCAAGCGUUCUCCGGAUUUAAUGGGGGAAAAGGGAGCGUAAACGUCAGUGCAAGUCUGGCGUGAAAGGCGGGGGGUCAACCCCCGGACUGCUCUGGAAACUGUACGGCUGGAGUGCAGGAGAGGUAAGUGGAAUUCCUAGUGUAGCGGUGAAAUGCGUAGAUAUUAGGAGGAACACCAGUGGCGAAGGCGGCUUACUGGCACAUAACUGACGCUGAGGAGCGAAAGCGUGGGUAGCAAACAGGAUUAGAUACCCCAGUAGUC